rnacentral:rRNA from 1 species
GGGGUACCAAGAAGGGAACUUUGUUUUUUUUGUGGACGACCGGCGCCACGGGUGAGUAACACGUUUCCAACCUACCUUUCACACGGGAAUAGCUUUUCGAAAGAAGGAUUAAUACCCGAUAUAAUAUAUUUGUCACCUGACUAAUAUAUGAAAGAUUUAUCGGUGUUAGAUGGGGAUGCGUUCCAUUAGUUAGUUGGUGAGGUAACGGCUCACCAAGGCAUCGAUGGAUAGGGGAACUGAGAGGUUUAUCCCCCACACUGGGACUGAGACACGGCCCAGACUCCUACGGGAGGCAGCAGCGAGGAAUAUUGGUCAAUGAGGGCAACCUUGAACCAGCCAAGUCGCGUGAAGGAUGACUGUCCUAAGGAUUGUAAACUUCUUUUAUAUGGGAAUAAUUGUAGCCACGUGUGGUUAUUUGCAUGUACCAUAUGAAUAAGGAUCGGCUAACUCCGUGCCAGCAGCCGCGGUAAUACGGAGGAUCCAAGCGUUAUCCGGAUUUAUUGGGUUUAAAGGGUGCGCAGGCGGGAGAUUAAGUCGGUGGUGAAAUUUUGCGGCUCAACCGUAAGAGUGCCAUCGAAACUGGUUUUCUUGAGUGUAGAUGAAGUAGGCGGAAUUUGUGGUGUAGCGGUGAAAUGCAUAGAUAUCACGAGGAACUCCGAUUGCGCACGCAGCUUACUAAACUACUACUGACGCUCAUGCACGAAGGCGUGGGGAUCAAACAGGAUUAGAUACCCUGGUAGUCCACGCAGUAAACGAUGAUUACUAGUUGUUUGCGAUACACUGUAAGCGACUGCGCGAAAGCA